rnacentral:tRNA from 1 species
UUAGGAAGCCAAAAAGAGGCCAAUUAUUGUUAAUAAUUAUACUGGUUAAUAUUUCCCCUAAG